UAACAAGAGGACACCAACAGGAUCAUCCUGCUCCAUUCAAAUUGUUUAUGCAGACAACAGUGGAGAGUACUGGUAUGAGACUGAAGGAGGGAGAAGGAGCAACAUUAUUAACCUCUCUGUCACUGCUGGUCCUGUGAUCCUGGAGAGUCCUGCUGUUCCUGUGUUAAUGGAAGAAACUGUGACUCUGAGCUGCAGAAGCAAAAUUCCAUCUUCCAACUUCAAAGCUGAUUUCUACAAAGACGGAUUUUUCACCCACAGAAGCUCCACAGGAAGCAUGACCAUCCAGAGAGUUUCCAAGUCAGAUGAAGGACUUUACAAGUGUAGCAUCUCAGGAGCUGGAGAAUCACCAGAGAGCUGGCUGAAAGUCACAGAUUCUCAAAAUGUAAAUUACACGAUUAAUCCAGACAAAGAAGCGUGCCAUUCCUCCUCUGCUGCCACACCUUGGAUCAUUGCCACCAUUUUAGUCAGUGCUCUGUUGGUGGCAGUGGGACUGUAUCACUUUGGCAAAGGUUACUGUAAGAAAGAGGCUGGCUCAGUGGAAGAAGGCAGAGCAACAUAUUCUGCUGUAAGAAAGACAAGAGAAGCAGGACCCAGCAGAGCGAUGUCCUCAGCAGGUCCCUGCCAACCCACUGCAGUGGAUCCCUUCUAUUCUGUAAUACAGUAGGUUGAAGAGAGAGAACUGUCUGAA
ensembl:lncRNA